rnacentral:other from 1 species
AACAUAUUGAUUUAUAAGCAUGGAAAUCCCCUGAGUGAAACAACGAAUUGCUUUGUGUAGUCUUUGCCCAUCUCCCACGAUGGGCUUUUUUUUAA